rnacentral:rRNA from 1 species
CCUACGGGAGGCAGCAGUGGGGGAUCUUGCACAAUGGGGGAAAGCCUGAUGCAGCGACGCCGCGUGAGUGAAGAAGGAUUUCGGUACGUAAAGCUCUAUCAGCAGGGAAGAAAAUGACAGUACCUGACCAAAAAGCCCCGGCUAACAACGUGCCAGCAACCGCGGGAAUACGGAGGGGGCAAGCGUGAUCCGGAAUUACUGGGCGGAAAGGGAGCGGAGACGGUUAGGUAAGUCUGGAGUGAAAGCCCGGGGCCCAACCCCGGGACUGCUUUUGAAACUGUGUAACUUGAGUACAGGAGGGGCAGGUGGAAUUCCUGGUGUAGCGGUGAAAUGCGUAGAUAUCAGGAGGAACACCGGUGGCGAAGGCGGCCUGCUGGACUGUAACUGACGUUGAGGCUCGAAAGCGUGGGGAGCAAACAGGAUUAGAUACCCUUGUAGUC